CGGGCUGUAAGUUAAGUAAAACUAUCAGACUUCAAAUCUGAAUAUACCUUGAAAGGUCAGCUUGA
rnacentral:tRNA from 1 species